rnacentral:lncRNA from 1 species
GGGGGACGUGAGACAACUUGGGAAGGUUGAACACUAGACGUUGACAUCAGCAAACCGCUCGUCCACACGACGCCAUACACGUGGGUCUGCGGUUGUGAGGCCGGUUGGACAUAAGACAAUUUAUGGUAGAAAAAAAAUGAACAUUAAAUUCUCUACACUGUGGAUUUAACAAGUGACAUCAAUAAGGGAUCAUAGUUUUUCACCUGGACAGUCUCAUGGAAAGAGCAGGUGUUCUUAAUGUUUUGUUCACUCAGUUUAUAGUUCUAUUUGUGUUGGGGUGUGUUAAAACAUGUUUUAUAUACUCUUGGGUUUCCAACCUCAUCUGCACACCUUUUUACCUUGUUUUUUUAAUGGAACUGAUUGUCUUUCACUUGUCUUGUUUAUGUUAAUACACCAAACUAGUGUAAGAUUUUCAAGUUGUCCCCAUGCCAGUCUUCUGUCCCCUGUCCUCCAUGCCAGUCCCCUAUUCUCCAUGCCUUUCCCCUGUCCUCCAUGCCAGUCCCCAGUCCUCAUGCCAGUCCCCAGUCCUCAUGCCAGUCCUCUGUCCCCAUGCCAGUCCCCUGUCCUCUGUCCCCAUGACAGUCCCCUGUCCCUAUGCCAGUCCCCUGUCCUCUGUCCCCAUGCCAGUCCCCUGUCCCCAUGCCAGUCUCCUGUCCUCUGUCCCCAUGCCAGUCUCCUGUCCCCAUGCCAGUCUCCUGUCCCCAUGCCAGUCUCCUGUCCCCUGUCCCCAUGCCAGUCCCCCGUCCCCAUGCCAGUCUCCUGUCCCCAUGCCAGUCUCCUGUCCCCUGUCCCCAUGCCAGUCCCCCGUCCCCAUGCCAGUCUCCUGUCCUCCGUCCCCAUGCCAGUCUCCUGUCCUCUGUCCCCAUGCCAGUCCCCUGUCCCCAUGCCAGUCUCCUGUCCCCUGUCCCCAUGCCAGUCUCCUGUCCCCUGUCCCCAUGCCAGUCUCCUGUCCUCCGUCCCCAUGCCAGUCUCCUGUCCCCUGUCCCCAUGCCAGACUCCUGUCCCCAUGCCAGUCUCCUGUCCUCUGUCCCCAUGCCUGUCCCCAUGCCAGUCCUCUGUCCCCAUGCCAGUCCCCUGUCCUCUGUCCCCAUGCCAGCAUCCUGUCCUCUGUCCCCAUGCCAGUCUCCAGCUCCCUGUCCCCAUGCCAGUCUCCAGCUCCCUGUCCCCAUGCCUGUCCUCUGUCCCCAUGCCAGGCUCCUGUCCUCUGUCCCCAUGCCAGGCCCCUGUCCUCUGUCCCCAUGCCAGGCCCCUGUCCUCUGUCCCCAUGCCAGGCCCCUGUCCUCUGUCCCCCAUGCCAGGCCCCUGUCCUCUUUCCCCAUGCCAGGCCCCUGUCCCCAUGCCAGUCCCCUGUCCUCUGUCCCCAUGCCAGUCCCCUGUCCUCUGUCCCCCAUGCCAGUCCCCUGUCCUCCAUGCCAGUCCCCUGUCCUCCAUGCCAGUCCCCUGUCCUCCAUGCCAGUCCCCUGUCCCCCAUGCCAGUCCCCUGUCCCCCAUGCCAGUCCCCUGUCCCCAUGCCAGUCCUCUGUCCCCAUGCCAGUCCUCUGUCCCCAUGCCAACCUCCUGUCCUUCUAAUCCUUACAUACCUCUGAAGUCAGUCAGCUAAACACUACUGGUAUAAAAUUAUAAUCUGGACCUCCAAUCCAGGUCAACAGCUUUUUAUUGAACUUGUUUCUUUCCCUUUAAAAUCAGGGACUGAAAAGCAGCAGUAAUCCGGACCUCGUAGACAUAGGCUGGGAGGGUCCCAGACAGCGGCCCAUACUACUGUGUGUUGUCCAAUCACGUGCGUUAUUUAAAAUCACUUCACGAAACUCAGCCAAUCAAAGCGAAUGUUUACAAUGCAUGUUAGGAGACUGAUGUCAGAGAGAGAGAGAGAGACAGCGAGAGAAGCAAAUGCGAGAGGAGAAAUUAUUGAAUGGCGUGCCCCCCCAAAAAAUCAGGAAAGUCGAUACAGAAUAUCGAGCUUUCAAAGAGGAGUAGGGCAGACAAAUAUGCAUUUAUCCUUCCUGCAGCCAGUGUCAAACCCACUCUACCUGAUAUGUUCAGAGACCGCGGCUCUGAUAAAAAAGUGCCAACGUGAAGCGCCACUAGGAGACAAAGUACAGAUCUGUUGAGCGAACAUAUCCACAGCAGUCAGAGGUGAGGACACGCAAAAAUAAACGAUCUCAAAGCCCAGUAUGAUCGAUCCACCAGAGUCCUCUCUCCCAUGCAUUCACUGCCCAACAACAUGCAAACAAAUGUUCACAAAAAAAAAAAAAUAAAUCGCUUGGAUUUUUGGGUCAACACCAAAAGCCAUUUUACUGACGGUGGGAGUGGUGGUGGAGUG